UCUCUCUCUCUCUCUCUCUCUAUUGUCUGUCAUGUCCAACCCCUUGCUUCUCUUUGCUCAGAAAACAAGAAAACUCACUCCCUUGCCGGAAAAGCUCUCGCUCUCCCUCCAGGCUUUACUCAGCCACGAGGAAAGGAAGGAACAGAGAGCGUUUCCCGUGCAGUUCAAGAAAAUGUUGCAGUCGCUCUUACCGGAGACGACAUGGAUUGGGCAUGGCGUGAAGUAGCUCGCCGAGGGCGUUGGUCUGCUUCAGUCACUGCGGGCCGAUAUCUUCUUCUAAGCUCCCCGUUCUGAUCACCUCUGCCCUGCGCACACAUUGAAGGAAGGAAGGAAGGAAAUGAGCGCUUGUUGUGUUUUUGUUUGUUCCUUCACCUACCAGUUGAAACUCUGGAGGUUAUAUCGAAAUUGCUUGAUGGAUUUGACGAAUUUGUUGAAACCAGCCCCAACUUCCUGCAGCAGAGGCGGGGCUGGUUUCAACAAUUUCGUCAAAUCCAUCAACAUCCUCAACAAUGUAACAUGCACCCACGUGAAUGAUGCCUGUCACGUCACCCACAUUGAGCUCAACGUCUCAACUUGACCGGCUUUGUGCCUGAAGAAGUGGAAAAGCUUCCUUAUUUGCAAGUCCUCCAUCUAAAUCGCAAUUACUUGAAUGGAACAAUUGCCACCAACCUAAGCCAAAUUUUGCUCAUCUCCUUGUCGCUCCUCGGGAAUCGGAUCACUGGAACAAUCCCCAAGGAAAUUGGAGAUAUUGCCCCACUUGAAUAACUUAUAUUGGACGACAACUUACUGGGAGGGCCUCCACAUGAGAACCUCGGCAAUUUGAGUCGAUUGAGGAGACUCCUUCUUGGAGCGAACAAUUUCACCAGAAGGAUCCCAAAGUCAUUUUUCUGUUUGAAUCGUCUAAAUGACUUCCAGAUAGAUGGGAAUUCAUUGUCUGGGAAGAUACCGAAAUUCAUUGGGAAUUGGAGGAAUCUUACUAGACUCGACAUGCAAGGCACGAGAAUGGAGGGGCCUAUUCCUCCUUCAAUUUUCCAGUUGACAAACCUGCAAGGGUUGUGAAAAACUAUUUCCCUAAAUAAAGUUUUCUCUCUGGUGUUCUUUUGAGAAAAUAUUUUGAUCGGUUUUAAGUGAUUGACUUUUUCAAAUGUUACUGUGUCUCAGGAUGAUUUCUGAUUUGAGUGGGUCGAGCUCACUUUUCCUCAAGUUGCAGAAUAUGACUAGACUACGAUACCUACUCAGAAAGCGUGGACGGAACUUCAAUGGCCAUGACAAAGAGAUAAGGGGAUAAGGGAUCUCCCUGUCUCAACCCCUUCAUUCCUCUAAAAUAACCAUCCAUGCUUCCAUUAAUGGCAAUAAAGAAUUUAGUACCAGAAAUGCACAGUUAGUAAAUUGCUCAGACACCCCAAUAACAUUGAAUAUAUUCUUCAAAAACUUCCAACUAACUGAGUCAAAGGCCUUCCUUGUAUCAGCUUUCACAGCACAUCUAGGAGAACCACCCUCCUUCCUAUAUAGCCUUUAACAAGCUCACGAGCAAGAAGGAUGUUGUCCCCAAUUCGCCUCCCAUGUACAAAGGCACUCUGAAUGGAGGAAAUAAAUUCAGACAGGAAGCGCUUAAGUCAAUUGGCCAAAAUCUUCAUAAUACAUUUGUAGAUUACAUUGCAGCAAGAGAUUGGCCUAAGCUCUGUCAUCCAUGAAGGAUUAGGUAUCUUGGGCACCAAAGUGACACAAGUGCUAUUGACUUCCCCCCAGGAAUUUCCAUGUGGAGAAAAAAUUCAACAUUGCAGCCAUGAAAUCCUUCCCAACUUAACUCCAAGAUGCUUUAUAAAACUGCACACUAUAUCUAUUCGGGCCAAGUGCUCUAUCAAUAUCCAUUCUCUACAAUGUAUGUAACUGCAGCGAUAUGAUUCUGCACUAGAGCAAUAUUCAGCCUAUAAUGCAAGAUUUUUUGUAAACCAGAAAUGUACCUCCAUUAACAUGAUGAUCUGCAGUGCCCAGUAACAUGCUGUAAAAGCUAACUGCUUCUUCGGUAAUCUCUUUAGGAUCUUGAAGUCUCAUACCAUCUUCCGCAAUUAACAAUUUUAUUGUGCAUUUUUCCCUCCUCAUCUUGACAAUCUUAUGGAAAUAACUUGUGUUUUGAUCACCUAAAGAGAGCCACUUCACCCGACCUUUUUGGUUUAUAGAAUGCCUCUUCUGCAAUCCUGGGUUCAAUAUAGCUCUUGUCAAGUUCCUUCUCAUUAGCUAGAAGAGAAGAACAUGAACUACUUUUAACGAUGUCAUCCUGCUCUUCUAUGAGCUGCUGCUUAAUGUGUUUUACCAUAAUGCUCCUUAUUGGAUGCCUUCAGCUCAUACUUCAACAACUUCUGCUUCUUACAUAAGACAAACAUUGGGGUGCCCCGCACUUCAACAGACCAGCUUUUUUGCAUGAGGUCCUCGUACUUCUCAUGUGAGGUCCAGUAAUAGAAAAAACUUUAAAUGGCUCUUGAAGAGGGUAGUAUUUUGAUCCACUGUGAUAAGGCUUGAGGAGUGGUCAUAAACAAUGGGGGAAAGAAACUCAACCAUGGACUUAGGGAAGCCACCAAACCAGUGCUCAUUCACAAGGACUCUAUCAAGCUUUCGCGCAAUGAAACCAUCAAUCUUCUUGUUGGUCCAAGUAAAGUAAUUUCUAGUCCAGCUAUGCACGUGGAGAUUAACGUCAUCAGGUAGUAAUUUAAACUCGGCCAUACGAGGGAGGUCACUAGUAUCUGAGUUGCUUGUUUCUCCAAUUUCUUUUACGAUGUUAAAAUCCCUUGCUAACACCCAAGGAGCCUCCCCCAACAGAUUCUUCAUGCUUUUAAUUGAGUUCCAAAGACUUUCUCUCUCUCAUUGUGAUUGAAGUAUAAUGGCAGAGAACCAAAAUUUAGUGGAGGUACCAGUAAGAUGGACAGCACAAUGAAUUCCUUCCGUAGAUCUCUCCACCCCAACAAUAUUUAUAGAACCAUCAUGUAAAAUCCACACCCUACCCAAAGGAUAGUGACUGUGAUUGUGGAUAAAAUUCCAGUUUCUAAAGAUACUAUCCUUAAUCCUUAUAGCAUUCACUUCCUGCACUCUAGUCUCAAGAAUGCAAACCAUGUUGAUCUUUUGAUUAGUAAGCGGGUUCCUAAGCUCCUGAUGCUUAAGGGGCCUAUUGAAACCCCAUAUAUUCCAUGUUAGGAGUUUAACCAUUUGAAACUCCCGCAUGAGGUAUCUGACUACUGGAAGAACAUCCAGGUAGCUCUAGACUUCUGCCCAUUCUUACUUUUCCUCUGCGGCUGAUUUAUGUCCUGCAUUUUUUCAUUGAAUGCUCGAACAGCAGUUCGAGGUUUCUUUAUUGAGAAAGGAGAAGGCUUCUUGAGCUGCGCCUUCUCAGUAGUUUCGCGUAGAACAACAAAUGUAUUCUUCGCCUUAAUAGUCUUAAUAUCUUUCUACCAAGGCAGUGGACAGUGACUAAUAUGCCAAGGGCCAUUUCUUAACUCAGCAAUGAACAAUCCGAAGUCCGAAGUCUGAAAUCUUCGCAUUGAAGUUUGCAUCAGGCAGCACAUUUGUAACUUUAAUGUCUCGAUACACAAUUUUGAGGGCAGACUCCUCGUACAAAUGUGCCAAUUCUUUGGUAAUUCCAAUGCAAAUUUUUCUCUGUGGCCCAAUUUAAGUUCAACCUCUGCUUCUAGCGUCUUGAAGGAAAAUCAAUGAAAGACAAAAGGAAUAAGACAAUGGGUGAAAUAGAAUAUAAUAUAAACAAAAAAAAGAAGAAAAAACAUUGAUCGCGAUAUUUUUAAGGAUAAAUGAUUUACCGAAAAGUGCCCGUUCAAGAUUAUUGUUCUCGAGAUAUUCAUAACCCAGCAACAAUUGAUUCCCUUCCAUACAAUACCCAUGCAGCUUUACAAGAUUAUGGUGUUUUAAGUUAGAAAUUAUGCGUAUCUCAUUCAAAAAUUCUCUUUUUCCCUGCUUUGAUGUUUUAGACCUUUGCUUCACGGCUAUCAAAGUCCCAUCUGGUAGCUUACCCUGUAAUUAGAUUAAACAAAAAUCUAAAUGCAUUGCUCGGAAUGAGCCCCUAACACCCCUAACCAAGUUAGAUCAAAUGGUAGAGGCAUCGAAAAUCAACCUUAAAGCGCCCAAGACGACACGAGACAAGAGGGAAAGCGGUCCUGAUGUGACUAGACUUGGCAACCCCGACCCCUCCACCGAGGUCACCGGCGACCUCGGUGGAGGGGUUUGGGUUGCCGAUUGGUGACCCUAACACCCGAAUCGACCGAGGACUUCGAGUCGGAGAUCCCAUUCGAUUUGAGGGCUAAGAUCUCCAACUGGCGACCUCGACCCCUCCAUCGAGAAAGCCGGCAUCCUCCAUAGGUCCCAGCAACCUCAGUGGAGGGGUUGGGGCGCCGAUUGGCGGUCCCAAUCCCCAAAUCGACCAGGGACUCUGAGUUGGAGUUCUCAAUCGAUUCGCGAGCUGGGGCAACCAAUCGGCGACCUCGACCCCUCUAUUGAGAUCGUUGGCGACCUCCGUGGGUAUCGACAACUUCUGUGGAAGGGCUGGGGUCGUUGAUUGGCAGCCCAACUCGCGAAUCGAUCGGGAACUCCAACUGUGAGUCCCCGGUCAAUUCAGGGGUGGGGGCCGCCAAUCAGCGACCCUGACCCCUCCAUGGAGGAUUCCGGUAUCCAUAGAGGGCACUGGUGACCCCGAACCCUCCUCUUUUGAUUUUCUUUUUAGGAUUAAAAUGAAAAAAAAUGAAAAGUUGAGGAUAUAAAUGAUAAAAUGAAAAAAGAUUUAAAACCGAAAUGAUUAAAAGGUUAAAAGAUUAAGGACUAAAAAUAGGAAAAAAACUAACAUUAUAACCUCUAUGGUUAACGGAGUACACUAGAGGGGGGCUAAUUGUCCCUAACAAAAGCACAUGGUACAAUUUGUCAUAACCUCAAAUCACAAUGGUGAUUUUUGUAUUUUUCCCUUUAAUUAAUUUUAAUCAGCUUGGUUUGGUGCUACCGCAAUUUCAUUUUAUGCAGUAGAAGCAGGUGUUCGUGAUGAGUCAAUAUUCAGAGUACGACGUGUAAUUAUUUGCUUUACAAAAUGUUAGUUGUCAAUUUGUACCAUCCUCUCCUCUCCUCUUGAUAUCAACUACCAAGCAGACCGGCUGUACCUAAAUCCAUUCAACAACUUAGCUAUUAAGUUUCAUGUCAGUCAUGGACAAGAGAAACAUUCAUUCAUUCCAGUCAAGUCAGAGUCGAUCUGGAAUCUCGUGAAUGAACUCGGACCUGACUUUUGUGGACUUUCCCCAGAAGAGGAGGAAAUAGGCUUACCUUGAAAUAGGUUCUUGAAUUCGCCGACUUUGAUUGACUAGAGACAAUGGAAUUUCCAUCCUACCCUCAAGCAUGCUCAACAUAGAAGACAUCUGGGGUCGGCGACCGGAAGAGGAAUCCAUGCACAUAAUUGUGAUGUGGAGCAUCUUCAUAGGUUCCUCCUUAAAGUAAUUGGAGACGAUGCUCUGGUCCACAAGCUCUAAAAUUUUUCCUUGCCUAUGCAGGUGUUAAGACCUUCAUGUUCAUCAGAAACAAGAAACAAUGAGAAAAAUCAAAACCAUCAAGGCAUGUUUGGUUGGUUUGUACGUGAAAUUCUUGUUUCACUUUUUUUCCCCUUUCUUUCUUUCUUUUUCUUUGGAAAUUUAAAAUCAUAUUAGAGAAGACUUUAGAAGCAUUUCUCUUUUUUCUUGUUUGUGCCAGAAAUCAGAAACCGAAAUGGGAAAUUGUGCAAGGAGAGUUGAUCGAUCAUGUAUGUCUUACGCAGUCACGGAGAUUUAAGCAUGGGUCCGGUGGUUGGUAUUUAUGUUGCACUUUCUAUUGACAAUCUCCAAAGUGACGAUCCCCAAGUUGAAAACAUUUGCCUUGACAGUCAAGUGACCCUUCCUCACGUAUUCAGCAGCCAUGUAACCACUACCAAUCGAAAACAAAAACAAUCGUAAAAAAUUAACCUCGGUAGCUUAAGAAACAAACUCGAGCCAUGCUUAACUAAGAACUCACAUUGUUCUAACGAGUCAAGUAGUCACGUGUGCCAAUUCGAAGUCCAAAAUCUUCACAUUGAAGUCUGCAUCAAGCAUUACAUUAGUCACUUUAAUGUCUCGAUGCACAAAUUUGAGGGCAGACUCGUGCAAAUGUGCCAAUCAUUUGGCAAUUCCAAUGCAAAUUUUCCUCCUUAUGGUCUAGUCUAAGUUCAAUCUCUGCUCCUCGCGUCCUAAAGGAAAAUCAAUGAAAGAAAAAAAGAAUAAGACAAAGGGUGAAGUAUAUGAUAUAAAAAACAACAAAGAAGAAAAAACAUUAACCCCGAUAAUUUUAAGGAUAAAAGAUUUAUCGAAAAAUGCCCGUUCAAGAUUGUUGCUCUCGAGAUAUUCAUAACCCAAUAAUAAUUGGUUUCCGUCCAUACAACACCCAUUCGGCUUUACAAGAUUAUGGUGUUUUAGGCUAGAAAUUAUGCGUAUCUCAUUGAGAAAUUCUUAUUUUCCCUGCUUUGAUGCUUUAGAUAGUUGCAUAACGGCUAUCAAAGUCCCAUAUGGUUGCUUAUCCUGUAAUCAAAUUCAAUAACAAUCCUAAUGCAUUGCUCAGAAUUAGCCCCAAACGCUCCUAAUCAAGUUAAAUCAAAUGGUAGAGGCAUCGAAAAUCAACCUUAAAGCGCCCAAGACGACACGAGACAAGAGGGAAAGCAGUUCUUAUGUGACUAGACUUGGCGACCCUCGACUCCACCAAGGUCUCAUAUCAUUAUGGCUUCCUCAAGAAGAAUACAUCUCAUGAGGUAAAGGAGACCCAAACGAACACUUAAAGUCCAAAAACAAGACAGAUUACCGAGCACAAGUGCCGUAAAUCGACCUUGAGAAAGUCGUAAUGAUAUGAGAGGAACCCUUAAAAACCUCCACUAUCAAUGCUGGUUUAUCCUCAUAGUCGAGAAAAUCAAAACAAGGAUAAAUCACCAAAAUAAACCAUUCCCAAAUCAAUUGCAAAAAGUGGUCAUCCCAAGUCUUGGGUGCUCGUCCCUUCAACAUCCAUCAUUAAUAUCACGUAUCAUAUUCUAUCACUGUUUCAGUUCAGCACGUAUCAAGCACAUCAAGCAUAAGCCAUUGUUCAUUAUCAUCAACAAACACAGUCCUUUAUCAUCAUUCACUUUAGCCCACAACAUAAACACAAUUCAUAGUUAACAAAAUCGAGCAAAAUCAUUCAAGGAAUCACCCAAUAACUCAUCAAUGAACAACCCACUGUAGCAGAGUCUAAGGAGCCCAUUGGACCCUCACUUCCAAUAGCUAUAUAUUUUGAUUAGAUUACAAUUUCAGAAACUUAUUACCUUCUAGACAGGUCUAAAUCCUCCUUCUCCAAUCCUAUUAUUUAUAUCAAAGUUUUUGGUAGCGGCUAUGAGUUGUCUUAGAGUAAACUCACAAGUCGUUAGUUCUAGCUCUGAAAAAAGAAAAAAAUUAAAUUAUAUGAAGCAAACAUUUGUAAAUGUAAAGGAAAAAAAACCACAUGUGACUAGUUAUUUUACUUGGACCUUGAUUAGAUUGUACCACCACUGCUACCAGUAUAAUGCAAAUGAAUAAAAGUUAUUACGAGUACCACGAUUUGAUCAGUUGAUAUUCCACCUGCGACAUUUAAUCUACAAAUAGUAUACAAAGGAAUUAUAUAUGUUGAACUGUUCGAGAAAACACAUUGCAGAGAUAAUACAUUAGAAUUUAUUGGGAGUUACGGUAAUAGCAGAUAUGAGCGGUCCGUACACCCCCUUUCAAGAAUAACCGAUGUUCUUUUUCCUGACCAAUAGAGAUGGACCUCUAUCAUUGAAAUUUUCAUGUCAACCAUGGCAUUAAAAUCUCAAUAAAUUCCAACUCUAGCACCUCCUGCUCCUUCUAUGAUAUUGUGGUUUUCUAACACUUUCUUGCUCUGUAAUUAAGAUGAACUAAUUAAUCUAAAAGCUUACAAUCGGUAAUCGUUUGAUCAAUGGAAGAAGAAAAGAAACGAAAUUUACAGUCACCUAAAUAUAUAUAUCGAAUACUCGUCUGUCGAGGUUCUUGAAGGUUUGAUCAUCAUAAAAUUGUAUUUCAGCGAAAUGAAGAUGAACUCGGUAAUUGCCCGGGAUCAUGCACAUGCCUUGUGUUUGAGAGAUAGGGGGAAGUCAUGCAAAUUAGUACAAAGCCAAGUGUGAUCUAUUUUUAAUGAAAGGACUGUUUGUGGUUUAUGGAGCCUUAGCGUUUCCCACGGAUGAAUCGUUGCUGAUGUAGGCUCACUUUUCGAAGGCGAUGAAAUAAGAUGGCCUCCCUUGCCUUGUAUCUUCCAUAUACUCAUUAGCCUCGACCUUCGGCUUCUCCCCUCCGUAGUUAAUGUAUAAGGAGCGAUCUAGAUUUGUAUUAGUAGAACACAAAAAUGAAUAAAAACAAAUGCAUGGUCCACUAG